AUGUGGCCCUGGCCAAACCACCUGCUCUGGCUUUUCAUUGCCUGCUCCCCUACCCCAACUGUCAAAUUUUCCCAGAGCACCGAGGUUUCUGAAUAUGGGUUAAGAGCAUUCACCGUGACUCUCAAAGAUGCAUCCAGAAAUAAGUGCUGCUGCAGACACAAAAGUGUCUCAGAAUUAAUGGCAGAUGAGUCACAUGAUGAAUAUGUGUGCUGGAGGCAAAGACUCAACACAUUUUGGAGAAGGUGGUAUUGUUUUAUUUUACAUUGCUGCCAGAAAGGAAUCACACAGGUAAAAAUUAGGAUCUUAACUUACACAAUGUGAUUGACUGUAUUCCAAACAUAAACAUAUUCUCAAGGUUUUUCUCCUUUGCUAGUUCUAGCGACUAAAAAUCAAGUUAUCAAAACCUAACCAGGCAAUAUGUUGGAGAUUUUUGCUUCUACAGUUUCACUGAACCACUUGCUUAAACUGCUCAAGAAAACUCUAUAAAGUUUCAGAUUCCCUGCUAUUUUGGAAUGCUAUAAUUCCAGGAAUGAAAUAGUAACAGAGCUAGGUAGUAGUGUUUGGGGUAUCUUAUAGAUUAUUUUCAACAAUAACCUACUGGCUCACUCAGUAAAGAAUCCACCUACAAUGCAGGAGACUGCCUGCAGUGCAGGAGACCUGGGUCAAGAAGAUCCCCUGGAGAAGGAAAUGGCAACCCACUCCAGUAUUCUUGCCUAGAGAAUUCCAUGGACAGGGGAGCCUGGUGGGCUAUAGUCCAUGGGGUCACAAGAGUUGGACAUUUUAUCUAUCAGCUAAGAUCUUCAAUGAACCCAGUGGAGGGGAGAGAAAAGUGUUUUAAGAUUCAAGUAUUUAAGAUGAUUUAAACCACGUGAGCCCUGGUGGUUCCGAUGGUAAAGAAUCCGCCUGCAAUGUAGGAGACAUGGGUUCGAUCGCUGGGCUGGGAAGAUCCCCUGGAGAAGGGAACAUCUACUCACUCCAGUAUUUUUGCCUAGAGAAUCUCCCUGGACAGAGGAGCCUGGCGGGUCACAGUCCAUGUGGUCACAAAGAGCUGGAAAUGACUGAGUGACUAAGCACAGCACAAACCAGGUGAAGUCAUUCAUUAAUGCACUUAUUUAUUUAUUUUUGCAGCUAAACUUGGCAGCCAUGAAGUUCAUUUAGGCAGAAAACUUGAAGGACUGUUUUGGAUGUAUCUGGCACUCCAGCAAAUUGCAUUUUCUAAGUAUGACUGCACUAACAUGUGUCCCAUCACAUACGCUCUUCAGAGAGUAUGAUACUGACAGUAGUUUUGCCCAUUAAAACUAGAUGUGUGUUUGCAACUGCCUUGACCAACAGAAUGUGGCAGAAGUGAUGCUGUGUGGCUUUCAAGUCUACAUUAUAAUUAGGCAGUAUGAUUCCACUUGCUGUCUUUUUUGUCUCCCUCUCUCUCAGCUUGUUCACUUUUCAAACACAGCCCCCAUGUUGUGUGGAAGUUCUGGCCCCAUGGUGAGGCUGUGCCUGUGGGUUUCCAUCCAGCAGCCUAAGCUCAAGUCUCAGCCGACAGCUGGAAUCAAAUGCCAGAUUGGUGAGUAAACAAGCCUUUGGAUGAUUCCAGGUGCCAGACUUCAAACUUCUAGCUGCGGCCCCAGGCCUAAUGGAGAAGAUACCAGUUCCCCCGGGGUGCCCUGUGUGAAUUUUGACCCACAGGAAUCAUGGCCAAUAAUAAAGGACUCUAGUGGUUUUCA
ensembl:lncRNA